UACGUAGGGCGCAAGCGUUAUCCGGAAUUAUUGGGCGUAAAGAGCGUGUAGGCGGUUCGGUAAGUCUGCUGUGAAAGUCCAAGGCUCAACCUUGGGAUGCCGGUGGAUACUGUCGAACUUGAGUCCGGAAGAGGAGUGUGGAAUUCCUGGUGUAGCGGUGAAAUGCGUAGAUAUCGUAAGGAAGACCAGUGGCGAAGGCGGGUCUCUGGACAGUUCCUGACGCUGAGGCACGAAGGCCAGGGGAGCAAACGGG
rnacentral:rRNA from 1 species